rnacentral:rRNA from 1 species
UACGUAGGGUGCAAGCGUUAAUCGGAAUUACUGGGCGUAAAGCGUGCGCAGGCGGUUAUGUAAGACAGGUGUGAAAUCCCAGGGCUUAACCUUGGAACUGCAUUUGUGACUGCAUAGCUAGAGUACGGUAGAGGGGAUGGAAUUCCGCGUGUAGCAGUGAAAUGCGUAGAUAUGCGGAGGAACACCGAUGGCGAAGGCAAUCCCCUGGACCUGUACUGACGCUCAUGCACGAAAGCCAGGGGAGCAAACGGG